GAUGAACGCUAGCGAUAGGCUUAACACAUGCAAGUCGAGGGGCAGCAUGGUCUUAGCUUGCUAAGGCUGAUGGCGACCGGCGCACGGGUGCGUAACGCGUAUGCAACUUGCCUCACAGAGGGGGAUAACCCGUCGAAAGACGGACUAAUACCGCGUACACUCUAUGUUGGGCAUCCAAUGUAGAGGAAAUGAAAUUCGCUGUGAGAUAGGCAUGCGUCCCAUUAGCUAGUUGGUGAGGUAACGGCUCACCAAGGCGACGAUGGGUAGGGGAACUGAGAGGUUGAACCCCCACACUGGUACUGAGACACGGACCAGACUCCUACGGGAGGCAGCAGUGAGGAAUAUUGGUCAAUGAGCGAGAGCCUGAACCAGCCAAGUCGCGUGAAGGAUGACUGUCUUAUGGAUUGUAAACUUCUUUUAUACGGGAAUAACAAGAGUCACGUGUGGCUCCCUGCAUGUACCGUAUGAAUAAGCAUCGGCUAACUCCGUG
rnacentral:rRNA from 1 species